rnacentral:piRNA from 1 species
UGCUUUGAGUUCCUGCAGGUA